UAAAAUUCCUGAUACAAUUGGUAGUAUCCGCAAUCUGCAACAACUGUAUCUAGCGCAUAACAAUUUGUCCGGGCUGAUACCAGCAGUACUACAGAAUUUGACAUCACUGUCAGAAUUGGAUCUGUCCUUCAACAAUCUGCAAGGUGAAGUACCAAAAGAGGGAAUAUUUAGAAAUUUGUCAACCUUGUCAAUCACCGGAAAUAAUGGACUUUGUGGAGGAAUACCUCAGCUUAAUUUAGAUCCAUGCCACACCAGUUCUAUCAAAAAGAACACAAAGGGGUGGUUGAAGUCUCUUACAAUAGCUUUGGCAACAAUCAGUGCAUUCCUGUUCUUAGCUUUCAUGAUCGCACUCAUUCGGUUAAAAGGUAAUAAG
rnacentral:lncRNA from 1 species